CCUACGGGAGGCAGCAGUGAGGAAUAUUGGUCAAUGGGCGCGAGCCUGAACCAGCCAAGUAGCGUGAAGGAUGACUGCCCUACGGGUUGUAACCUUCUUUUAUAAAGAAAUAAAGUGAGGCACGUGUGCAUUUGUGUAUGUACUUUAUGAAUAAGGAUCGGCUAACUCCGUGCCAGCAGCCGCGGUACUACGGAGGAUCCGAGCGUUAUCCGGAUUUAUUGGGUUUAAAGGGAGCGUAGAUGGGAUGUUAAGUCAGUUGUGAAAGUUUGCGGCUCAACCGUAAAAUUGCAAUUGAUACUGGCAGUCUUGAGUACAGUUGAGGUAGGAGGAAUUCGUGGUGUAGCAGUGAAAUGCUUAGAUAUCACGAAGAACUCCGAUUGCGAAGGCAGCUUACUAAACUGCCACUGACAUUGAUGCUCGAAAGUGUGGGUAUCAAACAGGAUUAGAUACCCCAGUAGUC
rnacentral:rRNA from 1 species